rnacentral:rRNA from 1 species
UAGUGCUUGCACUAGGCUAAUGAGUGGCAGACGGGUGAGUAAUACAUGGGAAUCUACCUUGUAGUACGGAACAACCAGAGGAAACUUUGGCUAAUACCGUAUAUUGCCGAGAGGUGAAAGAUUUAUCGCUACAAGAUGAGCCCAUGCGAGAUUAGCUAGUUGGUGAGGUAAUGGCUCACCAAGGCUACGAUCUCUAGUUGGUCUUAGAGGAUGAUCAGCCACACUGGAACUGAGACACGGUCCAGACUCC